CAUGUUGUGGAUUUGUUGUUGGCGUGUGGGACGGGAUGCUGGGUUGCUGUAUUGAUUGUUGCAUGCCGUGUGCGAGGGACAGUGUCCACAUAAUACCAAAAUUAAGGAGACUACAUAUAUGAGGUUGGGUAAGGCCUAAGAGAGCAUGCAAGCGCAGAUGACAUGGGGCUAUUUUCCUUCUCCCGUUAUAUCAUUCUGGUCUUAUUACUCUCUGCAGGAAUCUUGGUCAUGCAGCCUUAUCAAAUCAGUGCAGAUAUUGAAGUAAGAAAACUAGCUACCAAACCUUUUCCAAGUCCUCCUCCACCAAUAGCGAACCUGGGGAAAAGCCCAAAUCUACGAAGUCCAAUGCCUCGGGCUAAAGGUGCACCAAAACCAAGAAAACCUCCUGGUAGUCCUGUGGUGUAGAAAUGAUCGGUAAAACUUACAAUAUCACUUAAUUAGAAGAGUGACAAAGAGUUUGAUUAGCAUAAGUUCUUAAAGAAGCAAGAGUGGAAUAUUUCUGCAUACUUUCUUUUUA